UUGUACAUUUUGUGUUAAAAUUCAUAGAAAGGCUAUCUUCUGAAAAGGACUUCUGGAAGUGAAAUGAUAACAUCACAUCUGAGUGACACGUGCCUAUAUCCACUGGGUUGUUGGUGAAGAAGAGUUGGAAGAAAUGAAGGAUUCUAGAUCAGAAUGUUCUUUUUUAGAAGACACUUUCAGCUGUAACCAUUGUUACAUUUUACCAGCUGUCCUCCACUCUGACCUGUAUGGACUAUAUCGAUGGGUAUCUGGCCCUCUGGAUCUGUCUGGAUUUUGCCAUGGACAUCGCUUGCAGGAGCCUAGGAGGGAGGAAGACAGGGGCUGAGGAGUCCUUGGAGAACAAGAGGAGAUCUUUAUAAAGGGAGCCCAGAGACCAGGUACAACUAGACCGUGACAACCAUGCCAACAAAAGGAGAACCAGCCUCUGGAAAGAUCUUCUUGCUGAACUGACUGAGUAAGAUUUCCAGUAAGAGAUACAUUUCACAAAGAACCAAGUACACAUGAGCACUGACCCAUCAAAGGCAUUACAAAUCAAAUUGUCUUAAA